AAAUAAGAAGCAAUUAUUUGCAUUUAGUUUCGACCUAAAAAAUUGAUUUUUAAUCCUUAUUUU
rnacentral:tRNA from 1 species